rnacentral:rRNA from 1 species
UUUAUGUCUAGGGCUACACACGUGCUACAAUGGUUGGUACAAAGGGUCGCGAGUUUGUAAGAACAAGCUAAUCCCAAAAAGCCAAUCUCAGUUCGGAUUGGAGUCUGCAACUCGACUCCAUGAAGUUGGAAUCGCUAGUAAUCGCGGAUCAGAAUGCCGCGGUGAAUACGUUCCCGGGCCUUGUACACACCGCCCGUCACACCAUGAGAGUUGGUUGUACCGGAAGUUGUCGAGCAAACCUUUCGAGGAAGCAGGCACCCAUGGUAUGAUUAAUGAUUGGGGUG